CCUACGGGAGGCAGCAGUAAGGAAUAUUGGACAAUGCUCGCAAGAGUGAUCCAGCCAUGCCGCGUGCAGGAAGAAUGCCCUAUGGGUAGUAAACUGCUUUUGAACUAGAGAAAACCCCAGUACGUGUACUGGGCUGAUAGUAUAGUUAGAAUAAGCAUCGGCUAACUUCGUGCCAGCAGCCGCGGUAAGACGAAGGAUGCAAGCGUUAUCCGGAUUCAUUGGGUUUAAAGGGNGCGUAGGUGGACUGAUAAGUCAGUGGUGAAAUCUCCGAGCUUAACUCGGAAAUUGCCAUUGAUACUGUUGGUCUUGAGUACAGUUGCUGUGGGCGGAAUAUGACAUGUAGUGGUGAAAUACAUAGAGAUGUCAUAGAACACCGAUUGCGAAGGCAGCUCACAAAGCUGUAACUGACACUGAGGCUCGAAAGUGCGGGGAUCAAACAGGAUUAGAUACCCUGGUAGUCCGCACCGUAAACGAUGAUUACUCNCNGCGNGGCGACUUAGUGUGU
rnacentral:rRNA from 1 species